rnacentral:lncRNA from 1 species
UGAGAUUACCCUUAGAGGGUAGGUUGCUGCUGUUUGUGAGUUGAUCGUGCUCACAUAGCCUGUCUGCGCUUGGAGGGGUCGCUCCCCACAAGCUAUGCACUCCGGAGGUUGGUCACUAGAGGGACAGUCAGUGUGCUGUCUGGACGGUCAGUGUGCUGUCCGCAGGCGGUCUCGGGGAGUAGUUCAGUGAGACUUUCCCUAUGAGAUUUACACGUGAGUUAUGCUUGUGAACCACGAGUUCACCUCGAGAUUUGGUUACCUAUUGAGUCA